AGCCCUAAGUGGGUGGUAAACUCCAUCUAAGGCUAAAUAUGACCACGAGACCGAUAGCGAACAAGUACCGUGAGGGAAAGUUGAAAAGCACUUUGAAGAGAGAGUUCAAGAGUACGUGAAACCGUUUAGGGGUAAACCUGAGAAACCCGAAAGGUCGAAGGGAGAAAUUCAUUCGCGUUUCGCGGUCGGCGUGAGGUGGUCGCGAGACGGAGGAUGCGUUCGCGUAUCUUCCGCUCCUUCUGCUUUACGAUCCGAUAGCGAACGCGUGCACUUUUCUCCUGGUAGGACGUCGCGAUCCGUUGGGUGUCAGUCUACGGCUCUCGGUGGAGACCGUUCGUACGGCUUGCCGCUACGGACGGACCCGAGUGUCCCGGCUGACUCGCUCGACGGUAUACGAAAGGUUUAAGGCCGCUUUUAAAGCGUUCGACUCGUCGCAAGCGCGCCAGAUGUUGUCGGUGAUCGGACCUGGUGCCGGUUCUGACCUCUGGUGACUGUUGGCGACGAAGUUCUCGAACAGACCUUCGACCGAUCUGCGACGCUAUAGCUUUGGGUACUUUCAG
rnacentral:rRNA from 1 species